UACGUAGGGUGCGAGCGUUAAUCGGAAUUACUGGGCGUAAAGCGUGCGCAGGCGGUUUUGUAAGCCGGAUGUGAAAUCCCCGGGCUUAACCUGGGAAUGGCAUUCGGGACUGCAAGGCUGGAGUGCGGCAGAGGAGACUGGAAUUCCUGGUGUAGCAGUGAAAUGCGUAGAUAUCAGGAGGAACACCUGCGGCGAAGGCGGGUUGCUGGGCCGACACUGACGCUGAUGCGCGAAAGCCAGGGGAGCGAACGGG
rnacentral:rRNA from 1 species